rnacentral:rRNA from 1 species
UACCAGCACCCCGAGUGGUCGGGACGAUUAUUGGGCCUAAAGCAUCCGUAGCCGGUUCUACAAGUCUUCCGUUAAAUCCACCUGCUUAACAGAUGGGCGUGCGGAGGAUACUAUGGAGCUAGGAGGCGGGGAGAGGCAAGCGGUACUUAGUGGGUAGGGGUAAAAUCCGUUGAUCCAUUGAAGACCACCAGUGGCGAAGGCGGCUUGCCCAGA